rnacentral:lncRNA from 1 species
AAAUCCAAAGCACACCAGGAAGUGGGGACAUCUUUCAGGGGGCUCCUGCUGGAGGGAAGUCUUGGGCUGAAACUGCAUUAGGAGUGAAUCGCAUGCCAGAACGAAAAACCCUGUAUUAAGAGCGUGCUCGAGCCCAGGGCUAUGUUGAGAGCUGGGCUCCCAACCGCCGAGGCUGGAGUCUCUCCCCCCAGAGAAUUGAGAUCCAGAGAGGGGAAGGAAAGCAACCGAGAGGAUCGUGGCCAGAAGAAGCGUUCGGGGCUGCGAAGUUCUCGGGAUAAUGGCUGGAACCGGAGCCAGGAAGCGGUUGCUGCUUUGAUCUUUGAGACAUUUAGCGCCACUGGGACAGGGAGGGACUGAAGCAAUACCUGUGACCGGAACCAGACAGGGCUCCACCCCAGGACACAGAUGACUCCCUCCUGACUUCCCACAGUCCUCUUUGUUCAACCUUUAUGGAUCGAGAUCUUUACAAUGUCAGCCAUGGGGAUGAAAUACAAAAUGACGGGUGAAAUUAAGGAUGUGCUUACAAAGAAACUUACUUAAUGGCUUUUUUUCCUUGCUGCCCGACUUUAAAUAUGCCUUAAAUAGAUUAAGAGCCCAAUAGUUUAUUGAUCAGGAAAGCUGGAGUAUUGAGUGGCAAGCUGACUGAGACAGGAGCAUUCUUAAUUGCCUCUGGAUGAUGAGGUGCUUAAUUUGAUAACUGGCCUGCACACACUUGUAUCCCUUGCUGAC